CAUUGACGAAAUCUUGUUAUCAAGUGUGUUAUCAAGAAGGUUGCACCAAAAUUUUAUCAUCCGUAAUUUAACGUAUAAAGAAAUCGGAUAUCUUCCCAAUUCCCCGUAAACCAUAAAAAUUUGGAGUCGAUCUUUUUAACCGUAAAACAUGCUUACAAAAACUCAAAUGUACUCUUUCCAAAAUGUCAAGAUUUUCGUAUCCCCAGAUUUCGGCCCCAUAUAAAAGUAUAGGUAAAACAGCUUUGUCAAACAUGUCAAGCUGGCAUUCUAUAGAUAGAUGGUUUGAUCUACACUUCUUAAUAACACAAUACAUAGCUCUAGUAGCUUGAUCUCUAAGAUAUUUUCUAGUUGCAAAAAAAGAUGCAUUUCUAGAGAAUAUAACACCAAGGUAUUUAUAGUUCUUAACAAUUUCUAUCUCUUCUUUAUUAAUAUAAAAUUUCAAAUUAUUCUGUGGUCUACCUUUUGAAAAUAUCAUAACCUUUGUCUUGUUAACAUUAAUUUUAAGUUUCCAGUUUUCACAAUAUUGAGAAAAACUAUUUAGAAGUAAUUGUAAAUCUGUGCUUGUCUCAGCGAGUAAAAUCGAGUCGUCAGCAUACAAUAAGACAAAUAUCUUAAAAUAAAUAUCCAGUUCAUCUUCUAUAUCAGAUGUAAUUGAAUGUAUACCUUUUAAAUCACUAUUUUCCAAAAAUUCAUGAAGAUCAUUUAAGUAUAAAGAAAAUAAUAAAGGAGAAAGAUUUUCCCCUUGGCGGACCCCAAUAUCACUAACAAACAUGUCAGAUGCUUCAUUGUUAUGUACAACUCUUGAUUUCACAUCUUUAUACAAAUUUUCUACAACUCUAAGAAAUUUACCAGUUAUCUUAUUUAAAACAAGCUUAUACAAAAGAGAGUUUCUUUGAACAAAGUCAAAGGCUUUUUCAAAGUCAACGAAUGCACAAUGUAAUUUUUUUCGUUUGACACAUAGCAACUCAAAGAGUGCAUACAAUGAAAAAAAUAUGAUCGUUAGUAGAGUAGCCCUGUCGGAAGCCUGCUUGAUUUUCGUUCAAGAUAUUAAGUUCAUCAACAAAUUCCCCCAAUCUAUCAUUCAGAAUAGAUGUAAAAAUCUUACCAAGGCAUGACAAUAAAGUAAUAGGCCUAUAAUUUUUGGCGUCUAAUUUACAUCCUUUGUUCUUGAAUACUGGUAUUAUGUUUCCAAUAAGCCAGGCCUCCGGCAGGAUACCCGUAUCAAAAAUAAGAUUAAACAAAUUAACAUAUACAUCAAUCAUACUGUCAAGAGAAUUUGCAACAUAUUCAUUGAUUAUUUUAUCUUCACCUGGCGAUUUGUUAUUUUUCGCCUUUUUGAUAGCUUUAAUAAUUUCGUCAUGGGUAAUUACACCAUUCAGUGUCUCAUUUACAAGAUUUGAGUUCAAAUCAUUAUUAAUGACAAACUUGUCUUCAAAUUUGUUUUCAUUUAAUUCUUUGAAAAAAUCAAAUAAAGUUUCAAUAGAUAUAUUGCUUUUUUCUCUUUGUCUACCUUUGUUAAAUAAUUUCCAAAAUUCCUUGGGAUUUUUGGAUUUUAAUUUUUUCAUAUUAUCACUUAUUUCUCUAUUAUACUUCCUAAUGUUUUCGUCCAUUAGACUUUUAUAAUAAUAUUCACAGUGUCGUAAUCUUUCUUUAAAUAAAUUUGACCCAUAAUGUUUAUACAUUCUUUGUGCCUUUCUCAGUUCCUUCUUUGCCUUUUUACAAUCAAAAUUAUACCAUUGUUUAUUAUGCUUUUUAUUACAAUUCAGCAUAUUUCUAUUAAAAGUUUGUGUACCAAAUGUUGCUUUGGCAGAAUCUAUUAAAAUAUCAGUAAUAUUUGUAACUGCAGUAUUUAUUUCAUAUUUUGUUACAUUUUCUUUAUUACUAUAAACAGAUAAUUCAUCUAUAACAUUUCUUAUUUUGUCUUCAUCUAUGUUAUUUUUGAAAUCAUUUACUUGCUCAAAUUUCCAUUUUCCAAUUUUAUUUUCUUCUUGAUAAGAUAACUCUGUAGUGAGUAGUUCAAAUGUGGGGUUCACUCUAUUAAAAGAUAGUUUCAAAGGUGAGUGAACAUCAGAAAAAAGUUUAGAAAAUUCAAGAAUUUCAAAAUUCGAUACGCAUCUUAAAAAGUGUGAAGUACAAAUAAUAUAAUCUAUAACACUAUUACUUCUACUGGUAGGCCGACCAAUAACAUCUUGGCCAACUCUACCGUUUAAAAUAAAUACUUUGUUAUUUUUACAAAAUUCAAGAAAUUUUCUACCAUAACAAUUUACAACUUUGUCUGGAUUAUUUCUUGUUCUUGGUAUAUUUAAAUCAUCUAACAUAUAUACAUCAGUAUAGUCUGAUUGAUCAGUAAGGUUGUCAAUUACAAAAUCAUCUAUAUCAUCUUCAUCAUAAAAAUCAGGCAAAUUUGCUGUGCGACUGUUAAAGUCUCCAACCAAAAUAAUAUAAUCAGAUUUUUCAGAAAAUCUCUGAAGUUCAAUUUCUA
rnacentral:lncRNA from 1 species